rnacentral:lncRNA from 10 species
AUGGCGACCGAUGCGUCCCGCGCUCUAGGCGAAGACCGCGGCCCCGUCCCCGCGCCUCCACCGCCUUCUUCCAGGAGGAGGGGCCGUGCGGCGCCUGCCCGGGGGCCCUCAGGCCGCAGGCGGGCGCGAGCUUCAGGGAACUUAGGGGGCUCCCGCCUCCCCGGCCACGCGAGCGGGAACAGUCUCCUCCACUCGGAGCGAUUAUAGAUCCAGACUCCUGUGCCUGACCACUGCCCAUGGCCAACUCUCUGCUGAUGACUGGACUUGACUACACAAGUUGUUGGCCAUCUUAAAACCACUCAAAGUUGACGGUCUCCUCUCCUGCCUCCUGCGGCUUCCAUUACCAUGGCAGAGACUGUGGUGUCUGAGGUGGUGUAGCGUACUGAAGCAAGGCUGUCUUGAAGAAGAGGAGACAACUCACAAUUCUACCACCUUUGUUGACCUCUUCUUCCCCCCAACUUAUUGCUGUAGAGGCUACCUGAGCUCAUUGUCCCUGGAGAUGGACCAAAUAGAAGAAUAAGCAGUGCCUGUGUGGUGAGCUUCAAGAGGCAUCUGUUCUCUGGGGAGUGGGUGGGUGGUAAAGCAAAGACGGGAGAUGUGUAUAUUAGCUAUCCAUUACUGUAUAAUUAAUUAUACACAAAACUAAACUAUACACUAAACUAAAACUUCACAGCUUAAAACAGGAAAUAUGUAUUAUCUCACACAAUUUCUGAGAGUCAGGAAUCUGAAAAUGGCUUAGCUAGUUUGGUUCUGGCUCAGGGUGACCUAUGGAGUUGCAGCCAAGAUGUCAUCUGGGACUACUAUCAUUGGAAGGCUCAGCUGGGGCUGGAGGCUACACUUCCAAGAUGGCUCACUUAUAGGGCUAUUGGUGGGAGGCUUCAGUUCCUCUCCACAUGAAACUUUCCUCAUGCCAUGGAACUGGCUUCCCUCAGAGUGAAAGACCCAAGAGAGAGACUAAGACAGAAGCUGCAAUGUUUUUAUGACCUAGUCUUGGAAGUGACUUACUGUCAUUUCUACUGUAUUUUAUUCAUUAGAAGCAAGUCAUUAAGUCCAGCCCACAUUCAAAGUAAGAGGAUUUAAGCUGAACCUCUUGAAAAAAUGGUAUCAAAGUAUUUACGGACAUUUUAAAAACUACCACAAUACAUAUAGGUGAACUUCACAAGGUGUAGACAUGGGCUGAGACAGAAUAUUGGAUAAUAUCUCAUUCUGCAAACAGCAGCCUCAUCUGUAAUAAAAUCCCAGCAUUCAGAAAUUAUCACGAUCAAGUAGGAAAAGGGCUUGUUGGAAAAAACUUAUCAAAGAUGUUACUUCAUUUAUCCAUUUAUUCUGAGCCAUAGCAUAAUAGCGACAAAUUGUGUGUCCUGUGUAAUUUGGAUACCUCUGCUCAAUAAUAGCUGAACAGAUUUUAUCCUAUUUUUAGAAUAGUUAAUAUAUACACAUGGCACAAAAUUUAAAAGGUAUAAAAGUUUCUGGUUCAAAAAUAAGAUUCCCUCAUUUUCUUUUUUUCUGAUUCUUUGAAUGCAAUUCGAUUUACUGAUUUCUCAUGUAGCCUUAGAAAGUAUUCUAUGUACUUACAAACAUAUAUGUACACAUAUUUUUUCUUUCCCACAAAUAAAAUACUGUAUGCAUUGUUUUA